rnacentral:rRNA from 1 species
CAGCAGCCGUGGGAAUACAGAGGGUGCGAGCGUUAAUCGGAUUUACUGGGCGUAAAGCGUGCGUAGGCGGCUUUUAAAGUCGGAUGUGAAAUCCCUGAGCUUAACUUAGGAAUUGCAUUCGAUACUGGGAAGCUAGAGUAUGGGAGAGGAUGGUAGAAUUCCAGGUGUAGCGGUGAAAUGCGUAGAGAUCUGGAGGAAUACCGAUGGCGAAGGCAGCCAUCUGGCCUAAUACUGACGCUGAGGUACGAAAGCAUGGGGAGCAAACAGGAUUAGAUACCCGUGUAGUCCCUGUCUCUUAUAC